GCCCCGCCCCCCCGGGGCGGCUGCGGCGGCCAGCGGCGGAGGAAGGCGCAGCCCCGGCUCCGCUCCGCUCCGCUCCGCUCCCCGCCGCCAUGAGCCUGCCGGCCGCCUGCCCGCCGCUGCUGCUGCUCCUCCUGCUGCUGCUCGGCGCCCUGCGCCACGGUUCUGCCCAGCUGGUGUUUAGUCCAGUAGAUUUUGUUGAAAGAGAUGCCUGUAAUACUACUGUCGUUUUACCUUGCCACGUGGUUAAUCUAAAGGAGCACAAUGACAGUAACAUGUUUGUUGCAUGGAAAAAACAAGGAAUAGUACUUUUUUCUUUUGAUGGAGCACAACAGCGUGUUUACAGGCAUGAGACGGUUCCAUCAGCUAACUUGCUGUCUCAGCAGGAUUUAUCUAAGGGCACUGCCUCUCUAAAACUCAAAAGUUCGGAAGCAGAAGAUGGAAAUUACAGUUGUGAAGUAACAGAAUUAAACAGAGAAGGAGAAACAAAAGUUGAUCUUAGAACCGUCACAGUUGACAAUUGUGGUGAGGAAAAAGCUCCAACACCAGACAAUAAAUGUGGGCGACAGUUUGACUUUAUGGAAAGUGUUGUCAUCUCAGUGUUGCUGUUCUUAAUUGUUGUUUUUUAUUGGGCUCAGAUAGGUGUUAUUGCAUUAAAAUGUGAAACUGUACAUAAGAAUAAGACGUACGUUGCUGUAGGAUGUGCCAUCUUCACAGUGCUUGCUGUUGUAGCUGUUGUUCUUUUUAUCCAAGGUGGCAAUAUUACUAUCAAUAAAGUUGGUCUUGGUUUUGUUGUACUGCCUGCUGUGAUACUGAUGGUGCUUCAAUACUAUAUAUUUAAAAUUGUUCUCGUUGAUGUAACACGCAAAGGAUAUAUUCUGAUAGGUCUUCAGUCUUUUGGUUUUGUAGUUGCUCUUGUUGGUUUUGCACUGUGCAUCUCAGCCUGUCCUUCAGAACUUCUCUCUGUUGUAAUUGCCGGCUUAGCUGUUAUGGCUUUUGAGGAUCUGCUUGCUCUGCUUUAUAUGUAUACUAGUUGUUCCAGAAUGAAAGAUCAUCAAACUCCAAGGAAAGCUGUAGAAGAACCACUAAAUGAUGCAAAAGGAGUGAUGUUAGAAUGAUGUGGUUUGAUGUCAGGAAGCAGAUGUUUGCCAGUCCAUUGCAUUCUUUUUUCAAACCUUUCAAGAAGUGAGGUGAGGAUGGAGUCAAUAGAGUUACCAUUCACUGCUGAAGACAAAAGUAGAAUUUUUCUUGGAAAACCAAUCUUUAAAUUAAAGACAGAGACUGAAUCUACUGCAGAGAUGAAUGAUGGGUGAAAAGUACAUUGUUUAUACGCCGUGGCCUUGAAGAUGCACUACUCAAAGAGAAGAAAUUCAGGAAACUAGUUGUUUUGCAUGUGUGGCAAAAGUGCUUUUGAUAUAAAUGAUGUAAUUUUAUAGUCACAGCAGCUGUAGCGAGGAACAUGUGUGUUUGCCCAUGUGUGAUCUUCAUUUCUUUUAUUAUGGUAUAUAUUGGUGUGGUUGAGGGUGAGACUAUAAAAAGCACUGUUUGCCCACUAAAGCAUCUCCCUGCAGUAUACUUAGUGGUAUUACUUUUAAAAAUUAUCACCAGUCACUGCUUUGAUAAUGGGCCUGCUCAGCCCGAAAAUUGCAAUACCAUUUAGACUAUUGUUUUCUUUACUCGUGUGCAUGGUCAAGGUAUGGUCAUGAUGUCCGUGAUACGAACAGGAAGCAGGGAUCAUACAAAUACUUCAUGUCCAACAUUCAGGAAAACUUUUAUUAAAAAAAAAAUGCUUAUACAUAAAGUUACAUAAAUAUAACCUUUACUCCCAGUUCUCCUGAAGUGAUUAACUGAGUUACCCUAAUUCCACAGAACCAUAAUAUUCCUAUAUAUGCACAGCAGUCACAUGCUGUGGCAACCACUAUUUUAGUCCAGUGAAAGCUCUCUGUGCCUCAUAGGUAUUCUUUGACAAGAUACUGCUCAGCUCUUGGAGCCAAAUUCAGCACUGGAAUUAUGGAACAUAGCACCUAGUUGUUUUCAUGCUGAAAGUGUUUUUUGUGUUUGUUCAUGUUGUGCAGCAUGUGGUACUGGAACCAAUAUCAGGUUCUCUUAACUGACCGCAUUUGUAAAGCUCUGAUGCUUCAGAAAAAUAGGACUUGUCCUAUUAGCAUAUUGUUAACAGUUUUAAAAUCAGUUUUCUUGAAUGGAAAUUGCAGUUAUUUCAUUUCUGACCCAAGUUUGUGACGCUGCCAUUACAUCACAAAUGCACAGAAUAGAAUAUAUGUAGGAGGAGCUGAUGCGAAGUGAGGAGGCUUCGUUGCUUUGUAUAUGGAAGUGGUACAGAUUAAAAAAAAAAACAAACAACAAACAUCAAUGUACAGUUAAUUUGACAGGACUUGCACAUUCCAUGAGACUUUACAGUGUUUUACAGCUGCAUUUGUUCCAAUAUAGCUGGAUUCUUUUGAAUUUCAUUUAUGCUUUGUGGAAAUCUUUACACUGGCUCCAAUUUGUAAUAAAUUAUAAUAAAAUCCACUUUUUUCUAAAAAGAUUCUGAGUAAUGCGAUAAGUCCCAGAUUUGGAAGUUAUAAACUAGGGUUCAUAUCUGUGUUGUGGGUGCGUGUUGCAGAGAUCCACAUGAGAUACUCCAAGUCUCAGUGCAGACACCUAGUAUCAAGAAGUCAACAAAAUAAAAUUGAAGUAUCUGAUUUUACAAUAUUCUUUACUGCAAGGGCUGCAGGACUCAGCCACUAGAGCAACCCUUGGUCCAGCUCUUGCUAAAAUCAGUGAAAUUGGCCACAGUGGAGGGGGUUAUUCAUGUGAUCAAGUGUUUAAGAAGCAAAUACGGUCUAUAUUUACUUGUGUAACUUAAAGUUUGUCAGUGGGAGUAUUCAUGUAAGAUUUGAGUUUCCAAAUAUGAAUCUUUUUGAUGCAGGCUUUUCCAUAAUCAUGGCAAUCCACCUAGAGGUGGGAGACAUUUCUCUGUUAUCUGUUACCAAUUCUGUGUAAGAGUUUACCUGAUCAGGUACCACACAGAGCUCCUCGUUUGUAUGUAGUGAUUCCCUGUGGCAAGUGGAAAGUUGAGCAGUUGCAGAAGAAAAAAACAAGCACUGGAAUUCUUUUUGAGGUAUCCUGCCUUAUUAAAACCAUAAUGUGUAAUAGCUUUAUGUUAACUACUGCAAAGCAGAUUGCAGUGGAACCUGUUGUGUGUCUCUGUGGUGAUGAGGCCAGCCUGUUACUAGGGCAUUGCUGAAAAAUGUGGAACUUGGUGACUGUGCAGCCUGCAGAAUCAAUCUCUCCAGAAAUGGGAGAAACCUAGCGUGCUGUUGCUAAGGGCUCUGCUCCGGGUUUCUUGUAGGUACAAAUUUAAACAUGAGAGUUUAAAAAGUCAUUGAUACACCCAGCCCUUUCCCACCAGUAAUUUAAAACCAAAGUUCGUAACUGUUUGAUGCCAUUCAUGUGUGUAUGUAUGCGUGUGUAUAUAUAUAUAUAUAAAUGCAUAGACAUUUUAAAUAUAGUCUUAAGAAAAUGUUUUUAUUUAUGAGACAUGAAAGAAUUUUGUAAAUAUUGUGUUAAUGUACUUUAAUUAAAGUCAUUUUAAGUUGUUU